UACGUAGGGAGCAAGCGUUGUCCGGAAUCACUGGGCGUAAAGCGCACGUAGGCGGAUUGUUAAGUCAGGGGUGAAAUCCUGGAGCUCAACUCCAGAACUGCCUUUGAUACUGGCAAGCUUGGAGUCCGGGAGAGGUGAGUGGAACUGCGAGUGUAGAGGUGAAAUUCGUAGAUAUUCGCAAGAACACCAGUGGCGAAGGCGGCUCACUGGCCCGGUACUGACGCUGAGGUGCGAAAGCGUGGGGAGCAAACAGG
rnacentral:rRNA from 1 species